rnacentral:rRNA from 1 species
UUUUAAAUGGCCGCAGUAUUUUGACUGUGCAAAGGUAGCAUAAUCAUUAGUUUUUUAAUUAAAAGCUUGUAUGAAAGGCUGGACGAGGUAAAAUCUGUCUCUAUUUAAAUUAUAGUAGAAUUUAACUUUUAAGUUAAAAGGCUUAAAUGUUAUUAAAAGACGAGAAGACCCUAUAGAUCUUUAUAGUUUAUUAAAUUAAAUUAAUUUAGAAAUAUUAAUGUUUUAUUUAAUUGAAUUAUUUUAUUGGGGUAAUAAAAAGAUUGAGUUAAUUCUUUUUUACAAUAAACAUUAAUUUAUGAAUAUUAAUGAUCCAGUUUUACUGAUUAUAAGAUUAAGUUACCUUAGGGAUAACAGCGUAAUUUUUUUAGAGAGUUCAUAUCGAUAAAAAAGUUUGCGACCUCGAUGUUGGAUUAAAGAUUAUUUUAGGUGUAGAAGCUUAAUAAUUUUGGUCUGUUCGACCAUUAAAUCUUUACAUGAUCUGAGUUCAGACCGGCGUAAGCCAGGUCGGUUUCUAUCUUUAAUAAAACAAAAUAUUUUAGUACGAAAGGACCAAAUAUUUGAUAUAUUUAUAUUUAAUUUAUUGAAUAUUA